GAUUACCUUGUCAAUGACUCUAGUGUGGCUGUGAAGAUUGUGUGGUUUCUCCCUCUCUGGUUCUACCGCUUCUCCUGCUGGGACUGUAACUUCACUCCUUUAUUGGAACUGGAACACUUGAAUAUUUCUCCUCCUUGCUCAGGCACCAGCUGCUCCUCCAGAAACUAUACUGGACUGCUGGAACACCACUUGCUCCUUCUUCAGGUUGGUCUCUCUGCUGUCUCACUUCAGCAUCUUCUUGCUGCUAUGGUUUAUAUGGUAAGCCUGGUUGUUUUUCUAUGGCUGCUACUAUUGAGAUAUGGUGUGACUGUGGUGCCGGUCUACUAG
rnacentral:lncRNA from 1 species